rnacentral:rRNA from 1 species
GAGCACGUAGGUGGGUUUGUAAGUCAGAUGUGAAAGCCUUCUGUUCAACGGAAGAAUUGCAUCUGAAACUGCGAGUCUUGAGUGUAGGAGGGGAGAAUGGAACUUCUGGUGGAGCGGUGAAGUGCGUAUAUAUCAGAAGGAACUCCGGCGGCGAAAGCGAUUCUCUGGCCUAUUACUGACACUCAGUGUGCGAAAGCUAGGGGAGCAAACGGGAUUAGAUACCCCGGUAGUCCUAGCCGUAAACGAUGGGCACUAAGUAGAGGGGUUUU